rnacentral:rRNA from 1 species
UUUCCGUAGGUGAACCUGCGGAAGGAUCACUAGUGAUUAAAUCGAGAGCGUCUUAAUUGACCUCUCACCCUUCACAUCCACAUACACCCUGUGAAUCGUUUGGCUUUUCAUUAAUAGAGCGCAAGCUCGACAAGUGAAAAGUCAUCAUUUAUACAUACCCCAGUCUUAUGAAUGUAACAGUUUUAAUAAACAUAAUAAAACUUUUAACAACGGAUCUCUUGGUUCUCGCAUCGAUGAAGAACGCAGCGAAAUGCGAUAAGUAAUGUGAAUUGCAGAAUUCAGUGAAUCAUCGAAUCUUUGAACGCACCUUGCGCUCCUUGGUAUUCCGAGGAGCAUGCCUGUUUGAGUGUCAUGAAACUCUCACCCUUCAACUUUCUUAAUAGUGGUUGCAGGUGUGGACUUGAGCGCUGCUGGUCUUUAUUGACCGGCUCGCUUGAAAUGAAUUAGCAGAUCCUUUUUGUAAUCGGUUCCACUCGACGUGAUAAGUAUUUCGCCGAGGACAUCUUAACGGAUGGCCGAGAUAAGAAAAGUCUUUUAGAUCCGCUUCUAAUUCUUAGCCUUACGCAAGUAAGCUAAACCCAUUUUAUGAUCUGGCCUCAAAUCAGGUAGGACUACCCGCUGAACUUAAGCAUAU